rnacentral:lncRNA from 1 species
GCAACAAUUGCAAAAACACCCCUCCACGAAACAGCCCAAACUGCACUGCGUACCGAUACACGGGUUUGUGUACCGGUACACAUCCCAUGAACCAGCCCAACCCGAGCCUCGGGUUGGCACACAGGCUGUCAGGGCCGAUGGCUGUACCGAUACAGCCAUCACCGCGUAUCGGUACACGGCACUGCAGCAUGCUAGCCGAGAGCACACCAAAAUCCAACCUUUUGGGUUUUGGUGCCAAGUUUUAAACCUCAAUUCUCUGGACUCGAACCAUAGGUCGGAACACUAUCCACGACCCUCCAUGAAGUGUGGAAAAGUUCGAAACACAAAUCAAAUACUCGAACCUCACUAUUUGCGACGGUUCGGUGUGUUACAUUCACCCCUCCUAAAAAGGAGUUUCGUCCGUGAAACUCGAAAGCAUCGUACCUCAAGCCUCCAUCUGAAAAAGAUGGGGAUAGCGCUCCCGCAGUGCGCUCUCCAACUCCCAAGUGGCCUCGCGCUCGUCGUGGUUGCUCCAAAGCACCUUCACGUAGGGAAUCUCACGGUUCCGCAAUCUCUUCACCUCGCGAGCCAAAAUCCUUAAAGGUUGCUCCUCAAAGCUCAAAUCCUCAUGCAGCUCCACUGGUAUAGCCUCCAAAACAUGAGCUGGGUCAUGUACCUCCGUAGGACCGAUACAUGAAAGACAUUGUGCACGUCCGAUAGAUUCGGCGGUAGGGCAAGUCGAUACGCUACCGGACCUACACGCUCCAAUACCUCACACGGUCCAAUGAAAUGGGGGCUCAACUUUUCCUGAAUCCCAAAUCUCUUGAUUCCUCUAGUCGGUGAGACCUUCAAGAAAACAUGGUCUCCAACUUGGAACUCCAAGUCUCGUCGUCGUCGGUCGGCGUAGCUCCUCUGUCUGCUCUGCGCUGUCAAAAGUCGCUCCCGAGCAAUUCGAACUUUAUCGUCAGCUUCCUGGAGCACAUCUGGCCCCAAAGCCAAUCUAUCGCCAACUUCACUCCAAUGAAGUGGCGAUCUACACUUCCGUCCAUAAAGUGCUUCGAACGGUGCUAUCUUGAUGUUUGCUUGAUAACUAUUGUUAUAAGCAAACUCCGCCAUAGGUAGAUGCUGCGACCAUCCUCCCUAGAAGUCUAUCACACAUGCUCGGAGCAUAUCCUCUAAAGUCUGUAUGGUGUGCUCCGACUGCCCAUCACCCUGAGGGUGGAAAGCGGGGCUAAAAUCCAGUCGAGUGCCUAAGGCGCCCUGUAGACUCCUCCAAAAGUGAGACACAAACCGGGUGUCUCGAUCUGAUACGAUCGACGUGGGCACUCCGUGAAGUCGCACAAUCUCAUCAAGGUACACUUGUGCGAGCUUCUCCCCGGUCCAAGUAGUGUGAAUAGGUAUGAAGUGCGCCGACUUCGUCAACCUAUUCACAAUCACCCAAAUAGCAUCAUGCCAAGCCUGAGAGCGGGGCAAUCCAAUCACGAAAUCCAUGGUGAUCUUCUCCCACUUCCACACGGGAAUAGGCAAACUCUGAAGUUUUCCCGCGGGAACUCGAUGCUCAGCCUUUACCUGUUGGCAAGUUAGGCAACGAGCUACAAACUCGCCAAAGUCCUUUUUCAUUCCGGGCCACCAAUAAAGCAGCUUUAAAUCCUUAUACAUCUUGGUGCCUCCCGGAUGUAUAGUGUACGGUGCUCGGUGCGCUUCUUGAAGAAUGUCCUCUUUAAUUCUCGAAUCCGCCGGUAUACAAAUCCGUCGACGGAAACGCAUCAAUCCCUGGUCAUCCACAAGAAAAUCGCUGAUGCGACCAUCAACCAUUUUACCUUUAAUCUUUUGCAACUCCACAUCGGAAGCUUGCUUUUUUUUAAUCCUGUCCAAAAGUGUAGGUUGCACAACCAAGGUCAUCAACCUCAAAGGUGUAUCCGGAGUCACUACCUCCAACUCCAACCGCUUCAUCUGCUCGAUCAACUGCGGUUGGGUCACAACAAGCAUCGCUAAGUUUUCCGUCGAUUUCCGACUUAGCGCAUAAGCCACCACGUUAGUCUUGCCUGGGUGGUAGAGAAUCGUCAAAUCAUAAUCUUUGAGCAGUUCCAACCAUCUGCGCUGUCUCAGGUUCAACUCUUUCUGAGUGAAUAAGUACUUCAAACUCUUGUGAUCCGUGUACACUUCACACCGCUCACCGUAAAGAUAGUGGCGCCAUAACUUCAAUGUGAAGACUACGGCCACCAGCUCCAAAUCAUGCGUCGGGUAGUUUUUUUCAUAUUCCUUUAAUUGGCGCGAAGCAUACGCGAUCACUCUGCCAUCCUGCAUCAACACACAACCAAAUCCAUUAAGUGAGGCAUCACUAUAAACCACAUACCCUGCUCCAGCCAUCGGCAGGGCUAGGAUCGGGGCGGUCGUCAAUCUCUGCUUCAACUCUUGGAAGCUUCUCUCGCAUGCAUCAUUCCAAAUGAACUUGACUCCUUUAUGUGUGAGUCUCGUGAGGGGAGUAGACAGCUUGGCGAACCCCUAAACAAAUCUCCGGUAGUACCCGGCCAAUCCAAGAAAACUGCGAAUCUCCGUGACGCUCGUCGGUCUCGGCCAAUCCCUGAUAGCCUCAAUCUUCUUGGGAUCCACCGCAAUACCUGAUCCCGAUAUCAAAUGUCCAAGGAAGGCUACCUCCCGAAGCCAAAAUUCACACUUUUUCAGCUUGGCAUAGAGCUCAUUUUCCCGAAAUACUUGAAGUACAAGCCUCAAAUGCUCCUCGUGCUCUGCAUCACUUCGGGAAUAAACCAAAAUAUCGUCGAUGAACACCACGACGAACCUGUCUAGAUAUGGCUUAAAAAUACGGUUCAUUAGAUCCAUAAAAGCUGCCGGGGUAUUAGUAAGCCCAAACGGCAUAACAGUGAACUCAUAAUGUCCAUACCGUGUUCUGAAAGCCGUCUUCGAUACAUUAUCGGGUUUGAUCUUUAACUGGUGGUAUCCCGACUGCAAAUCGAUCUUGGAAUAUACACACGAUCCUUGAAGCUGAUCAAACAAGUCGUCGAUCCUCGGCAACGGAUACUUAUUUUUUAUCGUGACUUUAUUAAGUUCACGAUAGUCCACACAUAGGCGUAGCGAUCCGUCUUUCUUCUUGACGAACAAAACUGGCGCUCCCCAAGGCGAGACGCUCGGUCGAAUGAAGCCUUUAUCUAGCAGAUCCUGUAGUUGUGCCCUCAGCUCCUUCAGCUCCGCCGGUGCCAUCCUAUAGGGUGCCUUCGAGAUUGGAGUAGUCCCAGGGACGAGAUCUACCACAAACUCGAUCUCCCUAUCGGGUGGCAUACCCGGUAGCUCAGCUGGAAACACAUCCUGAAACUCCCGUACCACCGGGAUAUUCUCAAUCCUAAGGGUGUCAUCCUCGCCCCUCAACAAAACACUAGCCAAGUAGGCUACACAUCCACGGCUGAUCAGCUGCCUAACUCGAGACGAGCUGAUCGACAUCGCAAAAAGCGAACUUCGGCAUCCUCUAAACACGACCUCAGUCUGUCCCGGUUUUCUAAAUGUAACCGUACGAUUCAUACAAUCAAUCGUGGCAUAAUACUUGGUUAGCCAAUCCAUACCCAAGACCACAUCGAAAUCCCCUAGCUUGCGCAAAGCUAACAAAUCUACGGGCAUGAUCCAAUCUCCUAUCAGAACAGGGCAACUAGGGCAAUACUCUCUAAUAUCUAGAGUGUGGUUGGGUACUACAACAUGUCCCGGAUGCAACAAGAAAACCAAAGGGAUGCCAUGCAACUCGGCAAACAGCCGAUUUAUAAAUAAAUGUGAUGCACCGGUAUCAAAUAAAGCACAAACUCUAAUGCCAUCAAGUAAAAUGAUACCUGCAACCACAUCCUCGGCUGCUGCAGCCUUCUCAGUCUGAGCGGCAUACAAACGCCCACUCGGGGCCUAUCGAGAUCCCUCGCUCUGGCGCUGGACGGGUGGCCGCCCAGGCUGGUACUGUGUCGACGGAGUCCUGUGGCUAACGGCUGGUAGAGCCGGUGCCGAUGCAGUCGACGGUGCCGGUGAAGAACCUCUCGGGCACUCAGUACGGAUGUGGCCUUCCUGGCCACACUGGUAGCACCUGCCCGCCCGCUGCGGACACUGCAGUAGGUGAUGAGGGCCACCGCAGAUCACACACUGGGAGGGCCGGCGACGAUCAGGUCCUCCUCGAUGCGCCGCUGAGCCGCGUCCUCGCAGCUGGCUCCUAGGAUGCUUCGGCGGCUUUCUAGAGUGCGUCUGACUCGCACCCUCUGCCGCAGGCCUCUUGGCCUUAACUUUGUCCAUCGCCUCUCGCCGCUUCUGAACCUUUGCUGCGCCGCUCUCCACUAUGAGCGCGCGAUCUACCACCUCCAAGUAGGUUUGGAGGUUAGAGGAUUGCACAAACCGGAAGAUCGACGGUCGCAACCUUCGCUCGAAGAUGCGGGCCUUGUCCUCGUCAUCCCGCACGACGAAAGGCACGCAGUGAAGAAGCCGAGAAAACUCUCUCUCGUACUCGGCUACGGUCCGAUCACCUUGGCGCAAGUUGCGCAAGUCCUGCUCCAUUUUCCGCUUUACACUAGUCGGAAAGUAGUGCGCCGACAGAAGCUCCUUGAACUUCUUCCAUGUAAUAGCCGCCAAGUCGGUGCUGGGGUUCUCCUGAAGAUCCAACCACCAGCGAUAGGCCUCGCCGUCCAGGUGGUGAGUGGCAAGCCAGACUCGAUCUCUCUCCUCCACGAAGGUGUCGCGGAAGAGCUUCUCCUUAUGCAUUAACCACUUUUUCACGAUCCAGUGGUCGAUCUUUUCGCCGUCAAAGAUCCGGGGACCGCACAUCCUGAACACGUUGAGGCGCUCCAUCAGUCGGUCCCGCUCUGCUCCCUCUACCAUCACAGGGAAAACAGUUCCAAUCGGGGGUGCCUGAACAGGUAGCGCCGCCAAAGCUUCCUCCUGAGGCGUAGCCACGGGCGCUGCUCGCGAAGAACUGGGCGUGGGGGAUGGCGCUCUCGGCGCGACGUCCACGACUGGUGCUGGCGGUGUAGGGACCUGAGUCUCUCGAGCCUCCACCUGCUGCAGCAGGAGAUCCUCCAGACGCUUCAUCCGCGCCUCCUGUCGGCGCGCCGCCUCAGUCUGCUGUGCCACCAUAUCAGUGAGGGCCGCAAGCUGGCCCCUAAACUCUCGGACCUCGCCGGAUCCGGAGGUAGCGGAGGUCUCGACCUCCUCCAAGUUUGCCGCAUUAUCCGCUCCAGCUGAUUGAGAGCGUGUGAUCGGCAUCGCACUACAACAUCAUAAAAGCGCAAGUUAGUAAAACUCACGCUAUCGCAUCCCCACUCAAAUAGACAAUACCCAAAUCAUGCAAAAGUAAGGUAGUGUUCUUCACCACUAACUCCCGAUGUUACGUUGUCGGCCGCCAACAUAACCGUCCGCGAAGUUAGAGGCCAUACACUUCGAUCAACUCCAACUUUUUAGAGUUAUCAAGAUACCCAAUCAUAUACUUUCGCUCACAAGUCAAAUAGACCUCGUCUCUCACGAGCCUAUUUCCUAUAGUCCAAACGGCCUAAGGUUUGCUAGGUCCACUAAGACUAAACCCUAGGCUUUGAUACCAAACUAAUCUGUCACGCCCCGGGACCUAACGGAAGCCCGCCCGGCGCGUGCCCAGACCCGCCGUACGUCUAAAACAUACAAGGCGUCUAAAAUAAAGCGGUAAAUAAAGCAAUAAAAGAAAGUAUUUAGGAGUAUCAGAGCAAAGCACUACGAAGUGCUACAACACGGAGAAGAUCCUAAAACUGAUAAUCCACUAAGGAAAACACAAGAUAAUACAAACGGAGUCCCAUAACAAGUACUAAUUUGAAUACAAGGUAGUCUCUCUAUACAUGGUGCAAAAUCUCUCCCUCUCUCUAACACAAACAGAAUAAGGAGUAACCACCUAUAGCAAAACGGACUCUCUCCGAGCUAGCUAUGCGACACCCUUGCCACGAUCCCGUGCCUCCGCCGAUACCGAAGGCUCUGAAAAGGAAACAUAGAAACAGUGGCGUGAGAACUAUUAAAUAAUAGUUCCCAGUGGGCAAUUAUUGAUUAGUGAAAUGCGGCUUACAGGCCCCAAAACUAACAAAAGAGCGGUCAAUGUGAAGCAUAAACAAAAGCGAUAAAUACAACGGGUAAGUAAAGAUGUGUCACGCCCCGAGCCGCCCUCUUUGGUCGGAUUCGGCACGCCAACAGACCGCCGAACGGACAGGGUUUCCCGCACGCGGACAGAGUCUCCCCUGUACGUUCAAGGCGUCGUAUAUCAAUACAAUUACAAGAGGUUCCAACAGGAACAAUUAUCAACAACGAUUGCAUAAGGAAGGUAUCAAACAACAUAACACAUCCUUAUAUUAUUACAUCAUUUAUCUCAUCAUUUACAUCGCAUUUUUUCAUUACAUUGAUUCUCAACUUCCAAAUUACAAUCGAUUUCUAAACAUAAUAUUACAACAUCGAUUCUUUUCUUUUCUUUUCUAUACCCCAAAGAAGCCGACUCAGGUGCGCUGCUAUUGGUCUCUGUGGUAGGCGGCUAACUACGGAGCUACGCCUUUCCUCGGGCCGUCGCGCCGCUCGCGUGUGAACUUGUACCCCCAAAACAACAACACGGGGUGAGACUAUUGUCCAUAGUCGUCAGUGGGUACAGCCACCAAGUGAAAAGCUCAACCCACCAGGUCCAAAGGAGGCACUGCAACAUGUUAGUCCAACAGAUAUAUACAUAUAACAUCAUGCAAACAUGUCAUGCCUCACAAAUAUGCAAAUUAUGCAACUCUUAGUCAUUCUUUACCAUUAGCCUUUCUUAGAAUAUGCAAUUCUUUAUCAUUAGCCAUUCUUUAUUCUUUAUUCUUUAUUCUUUAUCUUUAUUCUUUAUUCUUUAUUCUUUGCUAAGGGCACAUCUCGCACCUUAGGCGCAUUAUACACAUUGUCAUCUUAUAACAUUAACAAACGUUUCUCAAUUGUCAUUCUUUCUCAAUUGUCAUUCUUUCUCAGGGUACCUUUACCCUAGCCAACUAUGCCACUCGACUCGGCUUGAGUCAAUUCAUAAUGAAUACAGAUCAACUUUCCAAUUCAUGAUCCUUUUUGUUCUUUGUUCUUUAAUCUCCGGCUAACCGGGGGUUUCGCCACAUUAAACUUGCUUCACAUUAAGUCCAUCAUCGCAGGAACUCACCCGCUAGGACCGUCCUUACGGGUCUACUCCAACCCGGAGCCAAACUCCGAGGCAUCGCCGCGGGGAGCGACCGCCCUCGAGCACGGAACUAUAGCAAGUAUGAUCAAUCCUUAACUCUAAGGAUAUGUAGUUGGAUCAUGAUUUUCACUAACUCUAGUGUUCUUUACAUCACUUUAUGUUGCCGACUCUAGCAAUAUGUUCUUUACAUCUCUUUUACUUUGCUAACUCUAGCAAUCACGUUUUUCACAUUCCUUUACUUUAAGCUAUCUUUAGCUUUCACAUUCUUUUAACUUACACGUUCUUUAGCCACAUACAUUACAUUGUCUUUAGCCAUCAUCAUUAUUCUUUACAUCACAUUGCUUUGCCUGUCUCAAGCCAUUAUCAUUAGGUUCACAUUACAUUCAUGCAUACACAUAGAUUAUUAGAUUCUUAAUCAUUCUAUAAGCACGUGUACUCACAUCAUGCAACAUUACAUUAUUAUCAUCACAUUGUUUUACAUUAUCUUUAGCCAUUAUCAUUGUUCUUUACAUCACAUUUAUUCUUUGAUGUCCCACACUAACUCUAGUGUUCACUUUACCAUUUCGAAUCCACUCGAUCUAUGUUCAACAUGCAUAAUUUUGUCAUCCAUUGGUAGUAUUACUUAGCAUUUUAUGCAUUCGUUAAACAUUUACUACAUGCAUUCUCGUUAGUACAAAUCUCAUACUUUCAUUUGACAUCUAUUUAGCAUUUCUAUAAUAUGCACAUAUAAAUUAACAUCAACUCAUGCAUUCAUUUGGCGUCUAUCUUUAUCCAUGCAUUCUUAAUUAGCAUACUUUAUCAUGCAUUCUCAAUAGCAUACUUUAAUCUUUAUCAUGCAUUCUAAAUAGCAUACUUUAUCAUGCGUCAUAGUAAACAUACUACACUUUAGCAUGGAAAGUGACCUAAUCCUUCGGUAAGCACAACCACCUCAUUUCGCAUUCCGAUUGCUUGUCGACACUUGCAAUCGGCUCCGCGGACCCGUAACCCGCGUUUGGCCCGAUCUCUCACAGCGACCACCGAACGGCCUCCAAUUCACGAUCCGAAAAUUAAAGGUCUUCGGUUAUGUGCCACGAAGCUUCAAAUCUUUUCAUGAAUUUACGAUAUCGCCUCGCCGCCUCCGGCGGACCCGAAGCCUAAACGUCCGUUUCUUUAUAACUCGCAACGGCUCGUCGGAUUGCCGAACCGUCUUCGCCAACGCGAGUUCGUUUUACCUAGCAAUUAGGUUUAUAUAGGGUCAAUUUAGAUCAACCUUACAUUUUAUAAACCCCAUUCGAGCCUAAUAUGCUAUUAACCUCAAAAUAAUCCAAAAUUAAAUGGAUCAACAUGCUAACAAAGCUCAUUAGAGGCUAUUAGAAUACUUAAGCUAAGGAUUAAGUCAAAUCCCAAAAGCUUACCUCAAUGUGAACGCCCGCGACGAAAAUAACGCCGCCAACGGGCGCACGAAAUCAAUCCGUCGCCUCCAACGCGUUCGCCAAGCUCGAUCGCCACCAACCCUCUAAUUUUUAAAGAGAGAUAUAGAGAGAUGAGAGAGAUAUUUAGAGAGAGAAAGGAGGGUUUCUCCCCCUUUCAUGCGUGCGUGGUGUGGGUGUGUCGGCCAUGGUGGUCGGCUGAUGAGGAGAAAAAGCUAAUUAGCUUCUAAUUAAAGUCAACACCAAACACUAUUCACUCCAGGCAACUUAAAAUCUGAUAUCUUUCGCCGAGCUCCCUGAGUACCGUUUGAGCUCAAACUUGACAGUCAUGUUCGUUUACUUACUUAACAAGCUGACGAUCACUGGUUAGUUUCGACCCCGUUUGGUCACUGAAAACUGUACCGAACUACAAUCUUUAUUAGAUAGCUUGGAUUUUAUUUCUCACUCUAUGUGUGUCAGAAAAAUAUGAAACCUUAAAUCUUAGCCUCAUAAAAAUAUUUCUGACAUCGUCGCCAAUUUUCAUAAUUUUUGAGACUGUGCUUUUCUGCUUAUUUUUUCUGUCCGUCUCAACAGAAAAUUCUAGAUUCUGUUUUAAUUCCGAUUUCGCACAAGUUCACCCUGACUUAUGUUUACCUCUAUAUACAAUAAAAAUAGUUUCUCACACAUUUUUAUUUAUUAUAUUUUUAUACCAAAAUCUGGUAAUUUACAUUCUCCACCCUUAAAAAGAAUUUUCGUCGCGAAAUUCAAACACACCUCAAUUCAGCUCCUCGAGCAAUUGAGGGCACCAAUGCACUUUUUCCACUUCGGAAUCGCUUUAACCUUUGAAACUAUCCAGACUACUACGGAGCUCAUUAACACCAAACGCAUCCAACUUUGCAAGGCCACAUCUCGCAAAGUGCUUACGGUCUCCGUCACUCUAGGUGGUAGCGCAAGUCGCAAACUCGACGACUCUACGCGCUCCAACCCCACUUGUCACUUGGCAGCAAGAAACCUUCUUUGCAUUGACUUCUCCUUCAGGGAAUACAUUCCUAUUCGAUCACCGACAUGCUUAAAAGCGAUAUCACCGUGUGCAUCGCUUGUCUGUGAGUGCAUCUAAUUUCGCACAGAUCUUUAGCUCUAACAUGAGAUAGCCACCUCGGCGCCUCCCAAUUCCAAAUCCUCAAAUUCCACGUGGCUUGCACAGCUCAAGGUCUCACAAGGAGCACUUCUCAUUUCUAAUACCAUAUGCCACGGUCAACAUUGAACUUAUUUCGCAACGACUCACACGAACGCUUCAUUCGUGCAUUCGAGGUUAGACUCCUCUGAUAAGGGCUAUCCGCCAAAGCUCUCUUCGGUCUCCACAGUUGCAAAGGCCCACAACUUACGUAGGCCUACCGCCUAACCUUUCUCAAUACGCAGCGUCUCUCGCUCGCAAUGCAGACCCAAUCAUCAUUGGGGCGAAAUUCUCACUUGGGGAAUUCGCACCACCUCCAACCAGGAGAACUAAGAUCCAAACCGUUACAGAUUCCCGGCGUUGGGAUCAACUCGCACUCUCAGUUACAUCAAUCCGACACAUACUCUAUACACAAUACGUACCACUAUCGCUCCUAUGACUACGUGCGAGCCACAGCCCACGAGUGAUCGUGGCACGCUUCACACCUAGCAAUGCUCAGGUGCUAGCAACACACUAUCCGGCUGAACUAAAUCUGCACUCCACGAGUAACUAUACUCGAGCGGCUAUAGCGUGUCUAUUAGCGUUCAACUUGUCAAGCAUCCGCCGCAACUUUGCCUAUGCACACGGCCACACGAGUAUGGCUCACCGUACUCGAUUCGAGGUUACUAUGAGCAAAAGCGCCAAUAGUUGGCAACAAACCGUUCCAUCGGAGCAACAUCCGGAUACUCGAACCAUUCGAGUGUCCACAAGUGUCACGUCCAAACUCUCGCAACCCUAUCAGCAUUCUCCUCUGCGAGUUAGUCGCUCACCUCCAUCUCUACUGUGAAUCUCAUCAUUAGACCAUCACUAGCAACUCGCUAGUGCACCAGUUCUCUACCUGCACCGCAGGUGCACGCUUCACCACAUAACGUGCCGGGUAUUUACAUUUAUCCGCUCACUUGACACCUUACAUGCUAUACAUAACAUUAGUAUUAAUUACGCUCAAUGAUGCAAUGCACCAACUUUACAUUAUGAACAGAAACAAUAACUCGAUUCCAUUAAUGGCUCAACCUGCAUGACUGUGUCAGCAGCAGUUCCAUAUCCGGACUAGUUCACGAUAGGGAGAGUUCCCGUUGUACUCUCUAACGAGUCGGUCUCGGCUUGCGCACUUCCUGAAUUGGCCUGAAGUUCUCCUUCACUGUCGGGGAAGUAAGUAAAGAUACCCACUCCCCGAAACUCAUCCAUGCAUGGAGGAAUACUAGGUGAUCGGUUCUGCGAAUGCUCUUGCCACCAUGCCUUUAAGCCGACUGUUUUCAAACAAUACACGGGCUAAGGUACGCUGUCCGCCUCCAAGGUAGACAGCUCCUCGAAGAGCUUUCCAUGCGAGUCAAUCCACGUAUCCCAAUCCCGAAUCACAGUUCUCCCAUCGAAGAUAGGUGAUCAAACUUUAUAAGGUCAUGAGGGCCUGUCACAAGCCCGCCCUUUUCCUUCUUUCGUUUCCUUUCUUCCUCCUCUCUUGCCUCUAAGAAGAAAAGAGAAUAUGAGAGGCGGUGUUUGGUGAGAAAUGAGAGAAAUAGAGCUCUCAUACUCCUCAAUAGACCCACAUGUGCAUAAGUGCAAACAAGCCUCUCAACUUACUCUUUUACACUACCCUGACUGGGCAUUUCAGGUUCGGCGGACGUCGUCUCCCGACAGAGGAUCGGUCCUGAGAGUCCUCCCGCGCGUCAGCAGGGUCUCACGCCGAUCAUCUGCGUCUCCCCGAUGGGCACCGGUCUCUGGGGACGCGUCUCUCCCAUGCAGGGACACUGUUCCCGAGAGCUGUUCACCGGGAUCUUAGCGAUUUUUCCUCCCUUUCGCUGUCUGCGCGUCGGGCGACGGUCUCUCCACCAGAAGACCGUCUCCCGGAGACAGAAAACCGUAGUUUACAGAUUUUGAUUCCCAAGAAGCUCUCGUAAGACGCCCAUAGUAACGCACUUGUGUCAUUAUUUGACGCUUCGCCUUUCCAGAAGUGCUAGCAACUCGCUCUUGGUCAAUUUUGACAAGUUCGAAUGUUCGCUUAUGCGAAGUUUCGGUAUAUUAAGCCUACAAUUUUUUUUUUUUUUUUUUCUCGGAGUCUCUUAAUUCGCUCCUGCCUGAGUGCUAUAGCAGCGCUCCUGCUGCGCUGCACAUCUGCUGUUGCCAUCACACAACCCAAGUGUGGCACCGCGUUGCAAAGUAUCCAAAUCUCUCGCUCGCCCUUGGAUUGCUCUGGGACAGUCACUGUGCCACCGCGUCGAUCUAAACGAAGAUCGCACGCGGGCGUAUCUACUCAGAACAACAACUCAACUUACUCUCACUUAUUAGUCGCGAGCAUAAACAAUUGAAUCAACUCAAUCCAUGGCGAAGUCAUACAAGGCAUCUAUUCUCAUCACUCCGUUUCAUGAUUUGCUACGCGUCAACACAGGAACACUAUCGAUUGAGAAUGACAACACCUUGGAUCUAACUCAAUCUCCUUUUUAGAGGGUUACAACACAAUCCCAAUCCCUUAACCUUUCGCCCAAAAGUCCAAGUCCUCGUCUCUCACGAGCCUUCAAUCUCCAUGGUUUACUAUCAUAUGGUCUCCUAGGUUCACUAAACCACUUUCCAUUCUCUACUUUAUUGCUCGUGAUACUAUCUUACUUCACCCCAUAAGCCGCCUCUUUGGUCGGCAUCGGCACGGCAACAGACCGCGCGAACGGACAGGGUUUCCCUGCACAGCGGACAGAGUCUCCCUGUACGGUUCAGCGUUCGCAUCAAUACAAUUACAAGAGGUCCAAACGACACAAUUAUCAAACAGAUUGCAUGCAGGAAGUAUCAAACAACAUAACACAUCCUAUAUGAUAUUACAAAAUUCAUCUCAUCAUUUUUACAUCGAAUUUUUUCAUUACAUUGAUUCUAACUUCCAAAUAUACAAUCGAUUUCUAAAACAUUAUAUAUGACAACAUCGAUUCUUUUCUUUUCUUUUUUAUACGCCCUAAGAAGCCGACUCAGGGUGCUGCUAUUGUGGUCUCUGUGUAGGCGUAAUACGGAGCUACGCCCUUAUCUCGGCGCGUCGGCCGCUCGCUUUGACCCUGUACCCCAAAACACCAACACCGGGGUGAGACUAUUGUCCAUGUCGUCAGUGGUACGCCACCCAAUGAAAAAGCUCAACGCACCAGGUCCAAAGAGGCACUGCCAACAUGUUAGUCAACAGAAUAUACAUAAACAUCGAUGCAAUACAUUCAUGCUCAAAAUAUGCAAAUUAGUGCAUCUAGUCAUUUUUCAUUACCUUUCAUUAGAAAUGCAAUUCUUUAUCAUUUACCAUUCUUAUCUUAUUCUUUAUAUCUUAUCUUUAUCUGUUUAAGGCAUCGGCCUAGGCGCAUUAUACACAUUUGCCAGUUCUUAUAACAUUAACAAACGUUUUCUCAAUUGUAAUUCUUUCAAUGUCAUCCUUCUACGGGUUAACCUUUCCCCUAGCACAACUAUGACAUCGACUACGGUUUGAGGUAAUUCAUAAUGAAUACAAGAUCAACUUUCCAAUAUUAUGGAUGCCCUUUUUGUCUUGUGUCUUAAUCUCACGGCUACCGGGGGUUUCGCCAAUUAAACUUGCUUCAACUUAAGUCCAUAUCGCAGGAAUCACCCGCUAGGACCAGUCCUUACGGGUCUACUCCAACCCGAUGCCAAACUCCGGAGCGCAUCGUCCCGAGGGGAGCGACGCCUCGAGCACGGAACUCAUAGCAAGUUGAUCAAUCCUUAACUCUAAAGGACUAUGUAGUUGGAUCAUGGUUUUUCACUAAUCUCUAGUGUUCUUUACAUCACUUUAUGUUCCUCUAGCAAUCAUUGUCUUUACAUCUUUUUUACUUUUGCUAACAUCUAGCAAUCACGUUUUUUCAAUUCUUUACUUAAGCUAUCUUUUAGCUUCACAUUCUUUAACUUUUACACGUUCUGAUAGGCCACGAUUACAUUACAUUGUCUUUUAGCCAUCAUCAUUAUUCUUAUCUCACAUUGCUUUGCCUUGUCUUCAAGCCAUUAUCAUUAGGGUUUCUACAUUACAUCUCAUGCAUACACAUGCUUAUUUAGAUUCGUUAAUCAUUCUAAUAGCACGUGUACUCACAUUCAGCAACAUUACCAUUAAUAUCCAUUUUCCCACAUUGUUUUACAUGUAUCUUUAGCCAUUAUCUUGUUUUUACAUACAAUUUAUUCUUGUGUCCCACACUAACUGCUAGUGCUCCACUUUACCAUUUCGAAUGCACUUCGAUCUAUGUUUCAACAAAAACAAAGAUAAUUAUUUUGUCAUUCCAUUGGUGUCAUUACUUAGCAAUUUUAUGCAUUCUUUAACAGUUUUUACUACAUGCAUUCUGGUUAGUACAAAUCUCAACUUGCACUUGACAUCUAUUUAGGCAAUUUCUAUAAUAUGACACAUAAAAGUAACACAACUCAUGCAGUCAUUGCGUCUAUCUUUAUCAGCAGUCUUAAUUAGCAUACUUUAUCAUGCUCUCAAAUAGCAUACUUUAAUCUAUAUCAUGCAUUCCUUAAUAGCAUAACUUUUCAUUGCGUCAAUAUAAACAGACUUAACACUUUUUAGCGCUGGAAAGCGAUCUAAUCGACUUCGGGUAAGCCACAACACCGUCAUUUCGCAUUCCGUUGCUUGGACAUUGCAAUUCGGCUCCCGCGGCACCCGUUAAUCCGUUUGCUCCGAUCUCUCACGGCGACCACCCGAACGGCCUCCAAUUCACGAUACGAAUUAAAGCGUCUUCGGUUAUGUGCACGAAGCUUCAAAUCCAUUUUCAUGAAUUUACGAUAUCGCUCGGCCCUCCCGCGCGGACCGAAGCGCUAAACGUCUGUUCUGUUAAUGAACUUCGCAACGGCUCGUCGAUUGCCGACCGUCGCGCCAACGCUAGUUCGUUUACCUAAGCAAUUAGGUUUUAUAUAGGUCAUUUAGCAUCAAACCCUUACAUUUACAAAACCCUUCGGCAGCCCUAAUAUCGCUAUUAACCUCGAAAAUAAUCCAAAUUAAAUCGGAUUCAACAUGCUAACAAAGGUCAAUUAGAGGCUAAUAGAAUAUUAAAGCUAAGAAUUAAUGUCAAAUCCCAAAUGCGCUUUCAUCCUCAUGUGAACACGCCGCGACGAAAAUAACGCCGCUCCACGGUCCCGCCGAAAGCUCAAUCGUCGCCUCCAACGCUUCGCAAGCUCGAUCUCCACCAACUUAUGUCUCAUCAAGACGAGAUACUAGAAGCGGACUGAACGAGAGAGAAUUUAGAGAGAGAAAGGGGGUUUCCUCCGCCCCUUUCUAUGCGUGGUGUGUGGGUGUGUCGGCCAUGGUUGGGCGCCUGGAUGGAGGAGAAGAAGCUAAUUAGCUUGUAUUAAAGUCCAACACCAACACUAUUCACUCCAGGCAACUUAAAAUCUGUAUAUCUUCGCCGGAGCUCCUGACAUGUCCGUUUGAGAUCCAACUUGACAGUCAUGUUCCGGUUAUUACUUAACUUAAACAAGCUGACGAUUCACUGGCUUCAGUUCGACCCCGUUUGUUCACUGAAAACUGUACCGAACUGCAAUCUUUAUCAGAUAGCUUUCGGAUUUUAUUUCUCACUCUAUGGGUGUCAGAAAAAUAUGAAACCUUAAAUCUAGCCUCAUAAAAAUAUUUCUGACAUCUCCGCCAAUUUUCAUAAUUUUCUGAGACUGUGCAUUUUCUGCUUAUUUUUUCUGUCCCGUCUCCAACAGAAAAUUCUAGAUCUUCUGUUUUAAUUCCGAUUUCAGCACAAGUCACCUCUGACUUAUGUUUUACCUCUAUAAAUCUAAUAAAAAUAGUUUCUCACACUAUUUUUAUUUAUUAUUAUUUUUAUACCAAAAUCUGGUAUAUUACAAGAUGAAUACUGCUCAACCAUGUUGUCUCUACUUAGAAUGAUUUGCAUAAGUAAAUAAGCAACUAUCACAGGUAUGUACAUGAGAGUAAUCAAUAUGCAAAUGUAUGAGUAUGCAACUAUCCCAAUGUCUACAAUGUGAAUAGCAAUAAUGUCAUUGUUCACUAUUCUAGUCAAUGUCCACUUGUCACUUUAAUUGUUUAAAGUUCAACUCUGAUAAGACACACCCGAAGGCUGUCUAGCAUAAGACCCACCCGAAGGCUGUCUGGCUUUACCUUGCCUAAUGGUGGCCCCGUGGUAGUCAACAUCCCCACCCUAGGAAUGAGCCUUUUCCACGGCAAUCCACUUCGGCGCCCAAUCCCGCACGGCGAAUGUAUCGCGAUGGCCAACUCCGGAGUGCCGGCUUGUAGGGAGCGACCCUCACAAGCAUGUGAGAAUGAGCACAAUGGCAAACAUGCGUAUAAGUCUGUCUCAAGUCUUAAGUCCUCAUGUCAAUGAAUAUGGAAAGUAUCGAAUGUCACAAAGACCUAUCACUAUGUCAUCAUGUCUCUAACAUGGAAUAUAGUAACUGUCUCAAUGGCCUAUCUCUAUAUCAUCAUGUCUAAAAUAUGGAAUAUAGUAACUGUCUCAAUGGCCUAUUUCUAUGUCAUCAUGUCUAAAACAUGGAAUAUAGCAGAUUUCGAGUGGCCUAUCAUCAUGUCUCUAAGUUGUAGUUCAACGAUUUUCUAGUUCAAGUGCCCCUUUAUGACACUUUUGCCUACUAUGUCCCAAUAUGAAUAAUAAGUCUAAAAGCUUGUUAUUCUAAUUAUUUUUCACACAAGAAAAUGAUCUUACAUCAUUCAUUAGAACAUUAAACUCAUGCAUACUAACAAUGCAUAUGCUUCUCUCUACAACAUAGAGUCAAUUUUUCAUGAUGCAUAACAUAGGAAUUUUAAGCAUUCUAAAAUUCAUAUAAAUUCUAUUCAACAUGGAUAUGCAUGCAUUUAUAGUAUACGAGAACAUUUAACCACGUAGGAGGCAUUUCCCCCUAUUUCAAUGAAGCCAAACCCACCAAAGUCUCGCAACUCCUUCGUUUGCUCCGACGAAGGUGUCCACUAGUCUUCUAGCACCCUAGAGGUGUAGAAACAAGAGUUAAACGAAUCUUACGAACAAAGCUAAGCUCAAACAUUAAGCUAUCCAAGCUAAGGGGAAGAAAACUCACCGUACGCGAAGGAAUCUCUCUCGAUCUCCAAAAGGGAGCUAGAUUCCUUCAAAUCCAACCUAAAUCAAAGUUCUAAAUCAAUCAAUUUGGUUCUAAAAGCUACAAAUCCAAAACCCCCAUUUCUAACCCUAAAAUUCAAAAUCUAGGGUUUCCAACAAGUAGAAACUACAAAACUCGAUCCAAUAGGGAGAUUAAGUAUACUAACCUCACAAGAUGCUUAAAACCAAGCUCCAAGUCAAGUGGAGUUGAAGAUCUCCUCUCAAACAAGCUCCUCUCCAAACUCCAAGUCUUCAACAAUGGAGAAAACCCAACAAAAAGUAAGGUGGAGAAGAGAGGAGAGAUCAAAACAAACCAAACUCCAUCAAAAAUGGAGAAGAAGUUAAAGGGGAAGAGUCUCAACUUGUUCUCCACUGGUUAGGGCUCAAAAAGAGCAGCUAUGGGAGCUGGGGUGAUAUUUAAAGGGGUUGCAACAAUUGCAAAAACACCCUUCCACGAAACAGCCCAAACUGCACUGCGUACCGGUACACGGGUUUGUGUAUCGGUACACAUCCCAUGAACCAGCCCAACCCGAGCCUCAGGUUGGCGCACAGGCUGCCAGGGCCGAUGGCUGUACCGGUACAGCCAUCACCGCGUACCGGUACACGGCCCUGCAGCAUGCUACCCGAGAGCACACCAAAAUCCAACCGUUUGGGUUUUGGUGCCAAGUUUUAAACCUCAAUUCUCGGGACUCGAACCAUAGGUGAGAACACUAUCCACGACCCUCCACGGAGUGUGAAAAAGUUCGAAACACAAAUUAAAUACUCGAACCUCACUA